UGGGACCCACAUGUCAGUUUUAGACAAAAUAAUAAAAAAUAGUGGGGCUCACAUGGGCCCCACAUGUCAUUCUCCCCCCGGGCUUCCUCCUCUCUCCCCAUCUCCCCUCUCUCUCACGCAAGGUUCGGCGGCUGGAGUAGAAGCACCACCUCGCCACGUCCGCUGGCGGCGGCGACGGCGAUGGCGACGCGCCCCUGCCGCCGACUUGUACUUGUUGCCAUGGCCGCACACAAUAAGCUCCUGCAUAUGCCUCCUUGCCGUGGCCGCCCAUGUGCAUCCGCAGGUUGUCGUCGCGCUUGAAGCCCUUGCUGCACACGCUGCAGAAGUGCACGUGCGGCGCCAGGAUCUUGUCCUUCUCGAUCCGGACCACCUAGUAGGAGCCUCGCGGCGGGAUGUGCUCACCGUCGGCAUCGGCGCCCUCGUCGACGUCGCUGCUAUCAUUAUAAGGAGAGACAAGCAACUAGACAAAGGGGAUAGUCAUCUUCGUCCGUGCCGGUGGAUAAAUGCGAGUUAUGGAAGAAGCUGUGGAAAAUUGAGUGUGCUCCAAAAGAGGGGGCUGGAGACUGAUACGAGAUGUCCUGUGUGCUUUCGUUUUGAUGAAGAUGGGGGUCACUGCUUUUUUAAGUUCAAGCUUGUCAAGAAUUGCUGGCGUCUGAUGAAUUUGGAACAAACUCGUCUCAGUUUGAAGAUGUUGGACUCAGGCAGGUCGGUGGUCGAACAUAUUCUGAAUUUGGAGGAAGGAAGGAGAUUACAAAUAGCUUGUCUGAUGUGGUGUUGGUGGGAUACCCGCAAUAAGGUAAAUGCAGGAGAGCAAGGUUCAUCAUCUACGGAAAUUGUUAGAAGAGCCAAUUUUAUGGCGUCUGCGCCUGCUGGUUUGAUGAGUGUAAGAACUCCCAGUCCGGAGGGUGUAUCAGCAGGAAGGAGUGUUUGGAAGUUUCCACAUGAGGAUGAGCUGAAACUGAAUGUUGAUGGAGCAUUCUACGAAGCAAGCAAUUCUGGAGGCUGGGGCUUUAUCCUGCGAAACCCCUUCGCGUUACAAGCAGCCGCUGAAUGGGGUGUGAGCCAGGUGGAAGUUGAGACGGACUCAAAAGUUCUGGUGACAGCAGUACAAUCCAGUUCUUAUGAUCAGGCGCCAGGAGGUAUUCUGUUCAAGUCGAUAAAAGAUGUAGUUCGCAGAGAUUUUGUCAAAGUUGUUUUCUCUCAUGUGCCUCGCCGAUGUAAUAGGUGUGCCCAAUGGGGUUUUAGUAGGGACCCGGGUCAAUCCUCCCCUCCUAGAUUUUGUUAA
rnacentral:lncRNA from 1 species